AGAGUUUGAUUCUGGCUCAGAACGAACGCUGGCGGCGUGCUUAAGGACGGUAAACUGGCGCACGGGUGAGUAACGCGUGAGGAACCUGCCCAUAUGUCUGGGAUAACCUGCUGAAAAGCGGGCUAAUACUGGAUAAUUGUUCCAAGGAAAGUUGGUGUAAGCUACAUAUGGAUGGUCUCGCGUCUGAUUAGCUAGUUGGUGGGGUAAAGGCUCACCAAGGCAACGAUCAGUAGCCGGUCUGAGAGGAUGGACGGCCACACUGGAACUGAGACACGGUCCAGACUCCUACGGGAGGCAGCAGUGGGGAAUAUUGGGCAAUGGGCGGAAGCCUGACCCAGCGACGCCGCGUGAGGGAGGCUUGUUGACCUCUGUUGUACGGGGCGAACCGUACGAGGAAGCCCCGGCAACUACGUGCCAGCAGCCGCGGUAACACGUACGGGGCGAGCGUUGUCCGGAAUUACUGGGCGUAAAGGGCACGCAAGCGGAUAUGUGUGUUUGUUGUGAAAUGCCAGGGCUCAACCCUGGAGUUGCGGCAGAAACUGCAUAUCUGGAGUACUGGACAGGGAAUCGGAAUUCCCGGUGUAGCGGUGAAAUGCGUAGAUAUCGGGAGGAACACCAGUGGCGGAGGCGGCUUCCUGGCCAUAACUGACGCUCAUGUGCGAAAGCUGGGGUAGCGAACCGGAUUAGAUACCCGGGUAGUCCCAGCUGUAAACGCUGAAUGCUAGGUGGGGGUGUCGUAGGGCAUCCGUGCCGGAGUUAACGCGCUAAGCAUUCCGCCUGGGGAGUACGGUCGCAAGAUUGAAACUCAAAGGAAUGGACGGGGGCCCGCACAAGCGGUGGAGCACGUGGUUUAAUUCGAUGCAAACCGAAGAACCUUACCUGGGUACAUGACGUGUUACUAUCUGAGAGGAGGGGAUUGCGUCAAGAUGAUGCACGACUGUUGUCUGCUGGAGUAGUGAGAUGUGGGUUUAAGUCCCGCAGCGAGCGCAACCCCUGUAUCCAGUUGCCAUCAGGCGAGCCGGGCAGUCCGGAGGGACCGCCGGCGACAAGCUGGAGGAAGGUGGGGAUGACGUCAAGUCAUCAUGGCCAUUAUGUCCAGGGCGACACACGUGCUACAAUGGCCGGCACAGCGGGAAGCGGAGGGGCGACCCUGAGCGAUCCUGAAAGCCGGUCCCAGUUCGGAUUGCAGUCUGCAACUCGACUGCAUGAAGUUGGAAUCGCUAGUAAUCGCGGAUCAGCCAAGCCGCGGUGAAUACGUUCCCGGGCCUUGUACACACCCCCGUC
rnacentral:rRNA from 1 species